rnacentral:rRNA from 1 species
UUUUUAUAGAUAUUAAUUUUAAGUAAAACCUGCUCAAUGAAAAUAUUUUAUAUAGCCGCAAUACUGUGCUAAGGUAGCAUAAUCAUUUGUUUUUUAAUUAAAAACUAGAAUGAAUGGUUUAACAUUUUAAUUUCUUUUUUAAAAUUUAUUUUUUUAAUUUAUAUUAAAAAUAAAAAUAUUUUUAUAAAAAAAAAAGACGACAAGACCCUAUUGAACUUAACUUUAGUUUAGCUGGGGCAGCUAAUUAAUUAUUAUUUUAAUUUUUAUUUUUAUAAAUAUCUAAUAAAAUUAAUAACCAAGUUACCUUAGGGAUAACAGCAUAAUAUCUUUUUCCAGUUCAUAUACAAAAAGAAGUUUAUGA